CAGUAGCCACGGUAAUACGUAGGUCCCGAGCGUUGUCCGGAUUUAUUGGGCGUAAAGGGAGCGCAGGCGGUUUAGUAAGUCUGGAGUUAAAGGCAUUGGCUCAACCAAUGUAUGCUUUGGAAACUGUUUGACUUGAGUGCAGAAGGGGAGAGUGGAAUUCCAUGUGUAGCGGAGAAAUGCGUAGAUAUAUGGAGGAACACCGGUGGCGAAAGCGGCUCUCUGGUCUGUCACUGACGCUGAGGCUCGAAAGCGUGGGUAGCGAACAGGAUUAGAUACCCCAGUAGUCCCUGUCUCUUAUACA
rnacentral:rRNA from 1 species